rnacentral:rRNA from 1 species
GAUGAACGCUGGCGGCGUGCCUAAUACAUGCAAGUCGAGCGAAUGGAUUAAGAGCUUGCUCUUAUGAAGUUAGCGGCGGACGGGUGAGUAACACGUGGGUAACCUGCCCAUAAGACUGGGAUAACUCCGGGAAACCGGGGCUAAUACCGGAUAAUAUUUUGAACUGCAUGGUUCAAAAUUGAAAGGCGGCUUCGGCUGUCACUUAUGGAUGGACCCGCGUCGCAUUAGCUAGUUGGUGAGGUAACGGCUCACAAAGGCAACGAUGCGUAGCCGACCUGAGGGGGUGAUGGGCCACAAUGGGACUGGGACACGGCCCAGACUCCUACGGGAGGCAGCAGUAGGGAAUCUUCCGCAAUGGACGAAAGUCUGACGGAGCAACGCCGCGUGAGUGAUGAAGGCUUUCGGGUCGUAAAACUCUGUUGUUAGGGAAGAACAAGUGCUAGUUGAAUAAGCUGGCACCUUGACGGUACCUAACCAGAAAGCCACGGCUAACUACGUGCCAGCCGCCGCGGUAA